AGUGAACGCUGGCGGCGUGCUCAACACAUGCAAGUCGAACGAGAACGGGCUAUAGCUUGCUAUAGUUGUCAGCUAAGUGGCGCACGGGUGAGUAAUGUAUAGGUAAUAUGCCUCUUACUAAGGGAUAACAAAUGGAAACGUUUGCUAAUACCUUAUACUCCUUAUUAACAGAAGUUAAUAAGGGAAAGAUUUAUUGGUAAGAGAUUAGCCUGUAUUGUAUCAGUUAGUUGGUGGGGUAAUGGCUUACCAAGACUAUGACACAUAACUGGCUUGAGAGGAUGAUCAGUCACACUGGAACUGAGACACGGUCCAGACUCCUACGGGAGGCAGCAGUGGGGAAUAUUGCACAAUGGACGAAAGUCUGAUGCAGCAACGCCGCGUGGAGGAUGACACAUUUCGGUGCGUAAACUCCUUUUAUAUGAGAAGAUAAUGACGGUAUUAUAUGAAUAAGCACCGGCUAACUCCGUGCCAGCCGCCGCGGUAA
rnacentral:rRNA from 1 species